CUGCUCCUCCGCGCCGUGCACCGCCGAGACCUCGCCUCGCCGCUCGCCACCCUGAUGGCCAACGUCCAAUCAACAUAUGCUGCUGCAAAUGUGUGCUCCAGAUGGGGUACUUUUGCAAGAACUUUCAGUGCAAAGCCAAUUGGAAAUGAGGUUAUUGGAAUUGAUUUGGGAACGACCAACUCAUGUGUCGCGGCA